UAGGGGAGUUCAUUUUAUGCAUUCUGCUGUUAUUGAUUUGUGGCUGAUAGGAAAAUAGUAGAAGUUAAUUUCAUGUAUUGUAAAAGCUCACUAUUAAAUUUUUCGGAGUUCACGGAGUACCAGGUCGUUCUCUGUUUGUUGUCCGUCCGGUAGAGUCUAUGAGAAGUUCAGAUCUAGGAACCCAACAUUUAAGGCCCAAUACUAAAUGCAUGUUGCUGAAAUGUAGGCGCUCAAAGCUGGGAUGCUUCCAGUUUAUGAAAAUCACAGUAAUGUUGGUGGGUCAAUCAUUCGGGAUAUUUAUGUGGAGAAGUUCAGUGUUACUAUUGGCAGACGUAAUCUUAUUCACAAACAGACUCAGCGCUUUGUUUUGGAAGACACUAUGGUGAGUUACAACUUAGAUUACUACAUAUGUCUAAAUGCCCACCUAUUGAGGAGGCUCUCUAGGGAUGUGAAUUUAUGCUCCCGCUGAUAUGAACUAUUGCUGUCGCUGUUGCUUACUAGUGAUGCCACUGAUGUGAAAUAGAAGUGUUCGUAUCUGGCUAAAAAUGAUCAAUCAAAAGAAUUUAUCUGGUGAGUGCACUUUUAGUUUUAGUCCUGAAGUGCACCUUGUCCGUUGCUGAAGUUCAUUUUCCUUUCUCAGUAAACUGUUAUAUGCUAUCGGAGAUUUCACUAUGGCAGAGCUAGAAGCUCAUUAAAAAAUAUGACAAGUCCAGUUAAAAAAAAUCACAGUGAGUUGGUGUUAAAGUGAAGUUUACUUCUCUAUGUUUUUGUCAAUAAGUUGCAGUUCAGUUUGUAUUGUACAAAUUUCUUUUGUCUUCGCCCGCACAAACGAUUCACUUCUGGUUGUUAUAUAUGCUGCACGAAGUGCAUAUGUAGCAAAACUAGAGGCACAACUUCAAUUAUGGAGCAAUCCAGUUGAGUGAGAAUUUCGUUUGAAAAAUUGGUAUAUGGAAUGCAUCUGUUUUAUGUUUGGUUCAUUACAUUGACACCAGAAACAUAGAUUAAAAAGCUAGAAAAAAGUGAUGUCUUGCUGUAUUAAUGAAAAUGAUGAUGUGGAAAAACACAGAUAGGAAAAUUCACUUUGUGUUAUUGUGAAUUCAACUUUCUAUACGUAGUCAACAAUCUAUAAACAAUAUUUGGGAAGUUCGGUUUUUUGUUUUCAAGUAGUGCACUUAGCUUGGAAAUUAACUUCAAAUGCAUCCAGAAGUUCAGUACUGCUGCUAACCGCUGAGGUGAACUAUUGCUUCAGUGGCUAUUCCUGGUUCAGAUGCAUCACCGCUCAUGUUCUAGUCUCUCGGCAAGAUGUACAAAGCAUAUUGAAAACUUGUUCGCAUUUUAUUUUUAGUUAGCUGCAACCUGUAGUGGUGCACGGCGACCUAGUUGCUGAAAAUGCCACUGGAAAACAAAUCGUGUCCAGUUUAAUGGGCCUCUGGUAUGAUAACAAUACAUAGAAAAAUAAAAUAAAAAUCCUGUGUUAAUCGUAGAAGUUAACUUCCUCCUGUUUGAGAAGUUCUUCCGUUGCCACGCAUGGUCAGCAGUUCCUUGUUGUGCGGGGGUGGUUUAGUGGUGUGCAAAGGCGAAGUUAAACCUUUUUCUGUUGAGAGUUAAAUUAGCAGUUCACUAUUCUGUGUCAUGAAGUUCACUUUUAAAAUGUUGGAAACAGAAGUUCAAUAAGUGAACUACAAUAAGUUCACUUUAACCAUAAUUUGUGAACUGAAAUAUUUUUAAAUCAAGGAGUUCACUUCAUAUACCUGAAGUUUGCCUCUUUUUUAUCGGGGAGUUCGUCUUUUUAAUUUUGUUCGCAAGUUCACAUCUUCCUCGCAUAGAAGUUCGCAUUUUGUGAUUUUAUUCAUAAAGAUUGUUGCUAGCUUAACUACUGCCUUUUGUGAUUUUAUUCAUAAAGAUUGUUGCUAGCUUUGUAUUUGAGCAAAUGUUGGACGAUUGCAGCACAUAAAAAACAAUUUCACCUAGUUCACAUAUGAAGUUUACUCAUUUUUAUUUUGGAAAAAAAUCACUUCAUAGAUUGAUUUUAGUUAAAACACAUAAGAACAAGACUGUGAAGGUCGCUUUUAUUUAAAAUGCAAGUCCGCUUGUCCAACUUAAGGAAUUCUCCUUUUCUUUUAGUCACAAAUUUUUGUUUUGUCGGGAAGUUCGCUUCUAUUUAAAAUGCAAGUUCACAUGUCCAACUCAGGGACUUCAUCUUGUUUUGUCGCGAAGUUCAUCUUGUUCAUUUUAGGCAGUUCACUCUUCCAGAACGGUUCACUUUUCUUUUUAAGAUCUGAAUAUUCGAAUCAUCUGAGGAAGACACUCACUUCUUUAUAGGCAAAAAAUAGCAAGAAUUUCAUUUUUUCCGUAUGUACAGUGGCAGUUCACUAUUCCUUGUCACAAAGUUCACUUUUAAAAAUCCCAGAAGUUUAAAUUGUUUUCUUUUCUGGUUUGACAGUACAGGUAUUUAGAAUUUUGCACUACUAAAGUUUGCUUCAAUACCCGUGAACAUACUAUAUCGCUAUUGUUUCAACAUUAUUAGCAGGGGUAGUUAGUUAAAAGCACACAUGUUUAUUUAGUAGGUUAUACAUGUGUUUGUCAGGGGAAACAAACGACUACUUCCGUGUGUUAAUUUAAAUGUGUGGUACGUGUUUGUUUCAUUGCCUUGUUUGUUCAGUACUAUCCACUUUAGAUAACUUUUUCGAAUGUUCGCUAUACACAUAUAAGCAUGAUUAAAAUCAUUUUUUUUCUAUCCGCGCACUUCAGACUGCCAUGUUAAUUUCUCUAGUAUCUCGAAAUAUAAGAAUUGCUUCACUGCAAUUUUGUGUGAACCAUGCUUAAAACAGGAAGUUCACCCGAUAGCAGUUCAGUCACAUCUUUUUUGUAGUUCUGAAAGAAAUAAGUGAAGUUCAUUUUGAGUGGUAUGCUUUUAUCAUCUUGAAGUAUGCCACAGGACCGAUAGGACAUGAGUACAAUCUGGUAAGCGGCCUCCAAUAACUUCUUUCAGUUUUCCUAUACUUGCUGUGCAUGUGGCGGAGAUGCUGUAGCUUCUUACUGCUAUUAUUAACCAUGCUAAUAUCUGAAGUAAUGGUACUAAUUUCUUGGUGAUGCUUAGUUGAUUGCUCACUGAUGUUAAUUGUAUUCUAUUUUGUAGAGAAACUAAUAGGAUGUAUUUGCUUGGAAGUGCACAUUGGUGAAAAUAGGAAAUUCACUGUAUAUAAGUAAGCUUCCUAAUAUGGAGGUGUACAUCGAUCGGCAAUUUUCUGGAAAACUAUGAGAGAUACUGAUAAGCCCAGCGUCAUGGGUCUCUUGUCAAGCAGAGCUAAGGCGAAAAGUUACUCGACGGGGACACGACCUGAUCCAGGUGUAGACUUUGUGAUGGAUACGUGAGUGUACUCACUUGGCCACCAGGUGCAUGAAUGUUACUAUUGUCAGAUUGAUUCCCAGGUGAUACAAUGUAGAGUCGACAGAGGUCGGUUGAUCAGGUCAAUGCAGGGAGGGAGGCAUGAUCUGUCCAGGUCAACAAGACAAGAAAUCAUGUGCAUAUGCAGGGCGUAGGCACAUGCAUCAUUGUUUGAUCAUAUAUGCAAGUGUAUACUGAAUGAGUAUUGUAUCUAGUAGACAUGGGGCAUGAAAUUGCGGUUCAGGAGAACUGGCGUGGGUUGUUUGGCAAGUUUUUUCCCUUUCAUUUAUAUUUUCCUUUUUUGCUCUGUAUAGACAACAAAAAUGGAAAUUUAUUUUUUUCUAA